GACGAACGCUGGCGGCGUGCUUAACACAUGCAAGUCGAACGGAAAGGCCCUGCUUUUGUGGGGUUCUCGAUUGGCGAACGGGUGAGUAACACGUGAGUAACCUGCCCUUGACUUUGUGAUAACUUCAGGAAACUUGGGCUAAUACCUGAUAGGAGCUCCUGCUGCAUGGUGUGGUUUGGAAAGUUUCGGCGGUUGGGGAUGGACUCGCUGGUUAUCAGCUUGUUGUUGGGGUAGUGGCUUACCAAGGGUUUGACGGGUAGGCGGCCUGUGAGGGUUACCGGAGACAAGGGGACUGAGAUACGGCGCAGACGCCAACGGGAGGCAGAAGUGGGGAAUAUUGCACAAUGGGCGGAAGCCUGAUGCAGCAACGCCGCGUGCGGGAUGACGGCCUUCGGGUUGUAAACCGCUUUAGCAUGUGACGAAGCGUGAGUGACGGUAAUGGGUAAAGAAGCACCGGCUAACUACGUG
rnacentral:rRNA from 1 species